CACACUCACGCUAUAAAGCAGCACCUGCGUCCUCCUUGAAAGGCAUAUUAUUUUUCCACUGAAUUCCCACUACUGGUAACCUCUUUUCCCACUCUCCUCCUUUUCCCGACUUCUCUGUUUCCACCUAAUUCCUUUUCUGUUACUCUUCCAGGAUCGGCAUCUCCGACGUGCUCGCGAUUCUCCGCCAGCCCGCUUUGGCGUCAUUUAUCGCAAUUGUAUUUUCUGUUACCGUCUACGCGCGGCCCCUGUUCUUUCAAUUUCAUCAAUCUUCAAUAAACGAUCCAGUAUUUCCUUGCACCCGUCUCCUUUCCCAUUUCUUCCCGUCUCCGUCUGCAAUUCUCGCUCCACCGUGCCUCUCAACCCAUCAGAGAUUAUCCGUCAAGUUCGAUGUAUGGCCAGUCACUUCCGAAAUCACACAAUGAAUUCGAAAGUGGACUGGUCGUGGGUGCGCAUGUACAUGGAUGCACGCUCACUGAAGUUCAUGCCGAUGGCGAGGUGCGAUUGGAAAUACGGCCCAUCGGGGAUGGGCCGUAUUGGUUUCAGGUGCGGGCAGUGGCGUAUCCAGGAUUCCCCGGCAGGGGGGGCAAGAUUCGCCGAAGGUGAAAUUUUUUUUUUGCCGAAGAUCUCUCCUAUAUAUAUGUCAAGAUAUUAAAAUAGUGUAGUAGAACUUAAAAUUAAUUCAAGCUCACCGAAUAAAGCUCCAACAAUUUUAGUCUCGUUCAUCCGUAGUGUGUUUAACAAAUCGAAUCAAGUAAAGCUAAGCUCGGACUCAGCUCGCCAAGUGAGAAUAAGAUUUAGCUC
rnacentral:lncRNA from 1 species